rnacentral:lncRNA from 1 species
UCACGGCGAUUUCUCCUGUGAAAGCCACUCGGGUGCCCAAUACUCUUAGACAAGUAUUCAGGCGCCGUCUGAUCCUCUCUGACAAUAAGUAUGUAAUCUGAUCUGUUAUAUUUGACUGUCGUUCUCUUUUUCCUGUUGUCCAUUUUAUUAAAAAAGCUUAUAUUGAAUCCUCUUCUGCCAUUUUAUUCUCAUCUUACAUUAGUGGCCACGAACUUGGAAUAACCCUUUGGGGUGAGAGUGCUAUUCGAUUUAAUGGAGAGAGUGUGCAUUUCAUGGGUCAAACAGACCCGGCUAUCGUUAUCUUUGUCGGCACCACCGUUUGUAUGUAUGAAGGUGACUAGGAAACAACCCGAUGAAUGUGCUUGCUUGUUUCCCGCUGCCUUCGAUUUAUUUAAUGGUAUUAUUAUUUGUCAUGAGCUAGGGUCCAAGGAAUUAUCUGGUGGAUGUGCUUGCAAAUGAUAUGUUAACCAUGAUAUACCAGAGAUAAACAUAUUUAGGAGCAGGUGAGGGCCACGGUCUAUUCAUACGGCGUUUGUUUUCUCUAUUUUGUACUCAAGUAUUGUAUUCUCUCUGCUUCUUAGGCUCCCAGUCAUCUUCCCUGCCAUUGAGCAUCUUCCUGCACCGUCGAAGAUUAUUCUCCAGGUCCAACAUGCCGAUGUGCAUCCAAUGGUGUUAUUGACCCACCUCAUAAACAUCAACUUAUAUCAAAAGGAGGUACCAUUGUAACACCAUGCAGUUUUGGCAGUCUUCCCAUAGUGCUUGCUAUUUAUAUCUUUACAGAUAGAUUGAUUAUGCACUACGAUGCUUGACUUCUCAGGCGGGAACCUUCCGAUGCAAUGUGGUGAUUACCAGGGUUUCACAUUUGAAAAAAUGGUGGGCUACCUUCUGUGCAGACUGCCAUCACAUGUCCAUGCCAGCUACAACAUCGCUUACCCAGCCAGAUGUUUAUAUGUGCUCUCGUCGAUCUUGUUCAUGCACUAGCGCUACAAUUGGAUGAGAACAAUUCAAUGUUAUAUCAAUCAAUGGUCAUUUGCUCUCCCUGCUCAUUUCAUCUAUGUUAAUGUUCAGGUACACAUUGUUUGUCCAUCUAUGUUAAUGUCCAUCUACAUUUGUUUCCUUCGGUGGAUCUCCAGCUAAGUUUCCCCUUUCCAGUCAGCGCCGCCUCUAGGGUUUCACCUUCUCACCCUCCUGGUGAGUUUCUUCUGCUUUCGAUCCGCUUGUCUAGGUCGAUGUCCUCGGACGAUGUAUCCAACUUGUUUGCUUCGUGGUCUUGCUUCUCUCUUCUGUUGUUGGUGUGUUCCUUACAUUAUUAGUUUUGUUAGGGAUUGCCUUGAAGAACUUUUGAUUUAUGUCGAUCUAGAGCAACAAUGUAUUGAUUCUUGUCUUGCUAUAGCAUCUGUGAUCUAAUUGCCGCCCUCUUGUUGUUGCUCUUGCUAGAUGUCUUGUCUGGCUCUGUCCGAUCUACGUGCUGGUUGGGACAAACAGACAGUGUGCGUCCGUGUGUCUCGCCUAUGGCAUUACCGUGGUGGUUUAGAGAAUGGACCCGUCAAGCUUCUGCACAUGAUCCUCAUCGACGCUCAUGUGUGAUCCAGGACUCUUUAGAAAUGUAUCGCUUUUGUUUUGUGUUAGUCUAUGUCUGAUGCAGCACGAAACUGUUAUAGGGUAACCAUGGCUAUGCAGUUGUUCCGACAGAUUUUCUUGUCACUUAUAUUGAUAUGCUGCAUGAAGGCGUGGUGUAUGAGUUCAGUCGUUUCAGCGUGAUGUCUUCAUCAUGAACCCGGUCGAUGCGUCGUUGAUGAUCCAAUUUACACAAUUUACAAUUGUGAAGAAUUUUUUCGAUCUGAACGACGUAUUUCCGGAGUGGGCAUUCAACCUGACCCCACUAAAUGAAUUACCCCUUGCAAAUGAUACUCCCCAAGCCUACAUAGGUGACACAGAUUACACUCCUUGUCUCUUCUUAUGAUCUAUGAUAUGAUGUUCGGUGGACACCUCUGUACACUAAAUUAUAGUUUGCGCAUUUACUUGUGUAGAUGUUAUCUGGGUUAUCACGGCGAUUUCUCCUGUGAAAGCCACUCGGGUGCCCAAUACUCUUAGACAAGUAUUCAGGCGUCGUCUGAUCCUCUCUGACAAUAAGUAUGUAAUCUGAUCUGUUAUAUUUGACCGUCGUUCUCUUUUUCCUGUUGUCCAUUUUAUUAAAAAAGCUUAUAUUGAAUCCUCUUCUGCCAUUUUAUUCUCAUCUUACAUUAGUGGCCACGAACUUGGAAUAACCCUUUGGGGUGAGAGUGCUAUUCGAUUUAAUGGAGAGAGUGUGCAUUUCAUGGGUCAAACAGACCCGGCUAUCGUUAUCUUUGUCGGCACCACCGUUUGUAUGUAUGAAGGUGACUAGGAAACAACCCGAUGAAUGUGCUUGCUUGUUUCCCGCUGCCUUCGAUUUAUUUAAUGGUAUUAUUAUUUGUCAUGAGCUAGGGUCCAAGGAAUUAUCUGGUGGAUGUGCUUGCAAAUGAUAUGUUAACCAUGAUAUACCAGAGAUAAACAUAUUUAGGAGCAGGUGAGGGCCACGGUCUAUUCAUACGGCGUUUGUUUUCUCUAUUUUGUACUCAAGUAUUGUAUUCUCUCUGCUUCUUAGGCUCCCAGUCAUCUUCCCUGCCAUUGAGCAUCUUCCUGCACCGUCGAAGAUUAUUCUCCAGGUCCAACAUGCCGAUGUGCAUCCAAUGGUGUUAUUGACCCACCUCAUAAACAUCAACUUAUAUCAAAAGGAGGUACCAUUGUAACACCAUGCAGUUUUGGCAGUCUUCCCAUAGUGCUUGCUAUUUAUAUCUUUACAGAUAGAUUGAUUAUGCACUACGAUGCUUGACUUCUCAGGCGGGAACCUUCCGAUGCAAUGUGGUGAUUACCAGGGUUUCACAUUUGAAAAAAUGGUGGGCUACCUUCUGUGCAGACUGCCAUCACAUGUCCAUGCCAGCUACAACAUCGCUUACCCAGCCAGAUGUUUAUAUGUGCUCUCGUUGAUCUUGUUCAUGCACUAGCGCUACAAUUGGAUGAGAACAAUUCAAUGUUAUAUCAAUCAAUGGUCAUUUGCUCUCCCUGCUCAUUUCAUCUAUGUUAAUGUUCAGGUACACAUUGUUUGUCCUUGCGAAAGAUCGAAGUGGAGAGGCUGAAUUUGAAUUGUUUGGCACAAAGGCUCAACAAAUCAUCGAUCGAUCUGCUAGCCAGGUCCUUCGCAACAGCACUCACAUGGCCCUGCUAUUCCCAAUGUUCAUGUAGUGGCCUCAAUGCUAAGGAAAACCCCGCCUGAACUCAGUGGUCUCCUUUCCAUGAGAUGUAAGUUUGUUGUUCGUGCAUCGCCUGAAAGUUUCUUCGGAAGGUGGCCGAUGUUCCAUGUCGAUGCUAUUGAGUCCUUUGAGCCCGUCAAAUCGAACCUCUCUAUGAUAGAUUUGCUUACGCCAUCAUGAAGUGAUGCACGCAAGGAACUUCUUAUGAGAUCAGUGUGGAUGUUCCCUAGAGUUGAUUUUCGGUCUCCUGAGUGAUCUCUAGAUCUUUUGAUAAUGAACCUUUUUAUUAGUAGGAUUGUAAAUAUAUCGGUUCUGUAAACAGUAUUGUAUUAACUAUGACACUAUGGUCUUUUACCUUGGGACUAGGCUGCUGUUGAAAACAUGGUUAAAUAUAAUGUUCAUGUGCGUUUCCUUUCACUUAAAGAUCAGUCUAUUCACUUGACUGUAUG